rnacentral:rRNA from 1 species
GACGAACGCUGGCGGUGUGCUUAACACAUGCAAGUCGAACGGUAAGGCCCUUUCGGGGGUCCACGAGUGGCGAACGGGUGAGUAACACGUGAGUAACCUGCCCUCAUCUCUGGGAUAACAGUCGGAAACGGUUGCUAAUACUGGAUAUGAGCUUGCAAGGCAUCUUGUGGGUUGGAAAGAUUUUUUUUGGUUGGGGAUGGACUCGCGGCCUAUCAGCUUGUUUGUGAGGUAGUGGCUCACCAAGGCCUCGACGGGUAGCCGGCCUGAGAGGGCGACCGGCCACAUUGGGACUGAGAGACGGGCCAAACUCCUACGGGGGGCAGCAGGGGGGAAUAUUGCACAAUGGACGGAAGUCUGAUGCAGCAACGCCGCGUGCGGGAUGACGGCCUUCGGGUUGUAAACCGCUUUCAAUUGUGACGAAGCUUUUUUGUGACGGUAGCAGUAGAAGAAGCACCGGCUAACUACGUG